rnacentral:rRNA from 1 species
GAUGAACGCUGGCGGCGUGCCUAACACAUGCAAGUCGAGCGAACGGACGAGAAGCUUGCUUUUUUGAUGUUAGCGGCGGACGGGUGAGUAACACGUAGAUAACCUACCUAUAUGACUGGGAUAAUUUCGGGAAACCGGAGCUAAUACCAGAUAAUAUUUUGAACCGCAGGGUUCAAAAGUGAAUGACGGUCUUGCCGUCACUUAUAGAUGGUUCCGCGCUGCAUUAGCUAGUUGGUAAGGUAACGGCCUACCAAGGCAACGAUGCAUAGCCGACCUGAGAGGAUGAUCGGCCACACUGGAACUGAGACACGGUCCAGACUCCUACGGGAGGCAGCAGUAGGGAAUCUGCGGCAAUGGGCGAAAGCCUGACGCAGCAACGCCGCGUGAGUGAUGAAGGUCUUCGGAUCGUAAAGCUCUGUUAUUAGGGAAGAACAUAUGUGUGAGUAAACGUGGACAUCUUGACGGUACCUAAUCAAAAAGCAACGGCUAACUACGUG